GACGUAGGGCGCGAGCGUUGUCCGGAUUUAUUGGGCGUAAAGAGCUCGUAGGCGGCUUGUCGCGUCGACUGUGAAAUCCCGAGGCUCAACUUCGGGCUUGCAGUCGAUACGGGCAGGCUAGAAUUCGGUAGGGGGGACUGGAAUUCCUGGUGUAGCGGUGAAAUGCGCAGAUAUCAGGAGGAACACCGGUGGCGAAGGCGGGUCUCUGGGCCGAUAUUGACGCUGAGGAGCGAAAGCGUGGGGAGCGAACAGG
rnacentral:rRNA from 1 species